rnacentral:rRNA from 1 species
UCCAGACUCCUACGGGAGGCAGCAGUGGGGAAUAUUGCACAAUGGGGGAAACCCUGAUGUAGCGACGCCGCGUGAAGGACGAAGUAUUUCGGUACGUAAACUUCUAUCAGCAGGGAAGAAAAUGACGGUACCUGACCAAGAAGCCCCGGCUAACUACGUGCCAGCAGCCGCGGUAAUACGUAGGGGGCAAGCGUUAUCCGGAUUUACUGGGUGUAAGGGGAGCGUAGACGGCCAUGCAAGUCUGAUGUGAAAACCCGGGGCUCAACCCCGGGACUGCAUUGGAAACUGUGCGGCCGGAGUGUCGGAGAGGCAAGUGGAAUUCCUAGUGUAGCGGUGAAAUGCGUAGAUAUUAGGAGGAACACCAGUGGCGAAGGCGGCUUGCUGGACGACGACUGACGUUGAGGCUCGAAAGCGUGGGGAGCAAACAGGAUUAGAUACCCUUGUA